GGACAAGGCAGAGCAGAGGGGGACGUCAUGUGGAAGCAACGUUAUGGUGGCUGGCGGCAAUCAGGCAAGCAGCAAACCCAAAUGCCUGUGAUGCUGUUGCUUCUCUCAAGAGGCAACAAGUGGAUGCUAACAGCUUGGUGUUAGCAUCAGAAACACAAGUGACUCGGAUGAGACGUGCAGGCAGGGCAAUGAGGAGAAACCGUGUGGAAGACAUGACGAAGACUGUGUGAUGGGGGCAGAAAUGGGGCCGUGAGAGCAGAAAGAGGAAUAGCUCAUGAAUGGGCCAUCUGUCCCGGAAAUCCUUCCAACAUGGUUGAGAUGCUUAUACUGUGAACACAAGAUAUUUUAUCUUGGUUCUCAGAUACAGCGAUGGAAAUGUCAUCAAAGAGGCUGAGCCACAGUCGUUUCCAGCAAGAGUGGCUUCUAGCUAAAAGCAAGAGCAACCUGGGUCCUGUCUGCAACAUGGAUGAGCUCACUCUGCACCGGGUUGAUGCUGAGCAAAACAUACAGCACACAGAACACAGCAAGCUCAAAGGCUGGAAGGCAGAGGCUGCAAGAACAUAAUCCACAUGAACAAAAUAUUGGGCAAGAUCAUUGGAUUAAUUCAAGUCAUACAAGGACUGAUUUUAUCUUGUUCUUCAGAUCCAGGGUGACCUCACUUCAUCAUUGGGCCCAGCCAAUUAAAAGGACUACUGUAAGUACAGCCUCAGCGACCAGCUCAAGAACACUUGAUAAGUUAUGGCAAAGCUCCUAUCUGACUUCCAUAUUAGCCACCAUACCCUGAUACUACUUUGCCAGUUCUAAGACAAGGUGCCAUGCACCACUGAAGAGAAAGAGGCAACAAAGCAGACACCCAUGAAGAAGAAGAAAUGAGGACCCAAGAGGUGAAGAGUGAAUCCCUUCCUGAGGUCCAGUCUCAUGCCUAUCAACAGGAAACACAAGUCAUCACCAUUUACGUGAAAAAAAUUACCUGAGCUGCAUGACAUAAUAUUUCACACUGAACUGAUAACAAUUUCAAGCCAGAACAAAGACUUAAUAGCUUACGCAGAUUAUCACCGUCUAUGUACCAUAUGUUCAGAAUAUUACAAAAAAUGGAAAAAGGGUUUUUGGAGCCCCAGGAAUAAAACAAUGGCCAAAUCAUUCAUUCAGGAUGCAUUUUGUACGUUUUUUCACUGCUGUGUUCCUAGACAGCACCUGAUACACUACAGGUGCUCAAUAAAUAAGGCUUAUCAUGCAGUUGGCUGUACAACAGA
ensembl:lncRNA